CCAAAGCUGACUCAGCUGACUUGGUUCUGUGUUCCUGCUAAAGUGGCAUAAUUGGUUAAGAGGAUGUGACCUUCCUAAUAAACAAGGUCUUCAGCCAAGGGACUAAGAGUAGCUUCAGUCCCCUACCAGAACUUCCAAGCAUGCUCUCAAGCAGUCACAGAUUUGGUCAGUGGAAGCCAUUUUAAAUUGGCUUCUAUGUCAUUUUGGUGUCUCCAU
ensembl:misc_RNA Gm22316 predicted gene, 22316